CGGAAUUAUUGGGCGUAAAGCGCGUGUAGGCGGCCUUGCAAGGCGGGUGUGAAAGCCCUCAGCUCAACUGAGGAAGCGCGCCCGAAACUGCAGAGCUUGAGUACCGGAGAGGAUGGCGGAAUUCCCCAAGUAGAGGUGAAAUUCGUAGAUAUGGGGAGGAACACCGGUGGCGAAGGCGGCCAUCUGGACGGAUACUGACGCUGAGACGCGAAAGCGUGGGGAGCAAACAGG
rnacentral:rRNA from 1 species